GUUUGCCUACGGGGGGCAGCAGUGAGGAAUAUUGGGCAAUGGACGAGAGUCUGAACCAGCCACGUAGCGUGAAGGAUGACUGCCCUAUGGGUUGUAAACUUCUUUUAUAUGGGAAUAAAACGUUCCACGUGUGGGAUUUUGUAUGUACCAUAUGAAUAAGGAUCGGCUAACUCCGUGCCAGCAGCCGCGGUAAUACGGAGGAUCCGAGCGUUAUCCGGAUUUAUUGGGUGUAAAGGGAGCGUAGGUGGAUUGUUAAGUCAGUUGUGAAAGUUUGCGGCUGAACCGUAAAAUUUCAGUUG
rnacentral:rRNA from 1 species